rnacentral:piRNA from 1 species
GCCCAUGUGUAACCUCCAUCCCUGCCAC